CUUACAAUCGCAACGACGUGUAAGCCUGGUUUCAGGUCGCCAUCUUCCUUGUGGUGCAGUUGAAUUGAACUUUUUGAAAAGUCCAGAACUAAGCUACAAACCUACAAGUGCGAUGUUCAUAAAUGUGCCAAGCAUUUCCAAACUGCAAUGGCAUCCCUUUACAGUCACUUCUAACUACAAAUUGGAGCCUGAUACAGUUAGUGUUGUUAUCAAAUUAGGGGGAAGUUGGACUUCCAAACUUCACAAACAACUUUCUUCUUCUCUGGAUCACCUUCAAGUUUCUGUUGAAGGUCCAUAUGGUCCUGCUUCUACUCACUUUUUAAGGCAUGAAUCUCUGCUGCUGAUAAGCGAAGGAAGUGGAAUUACUCCCUUCGUAUCAAUGACAAACAACUUUCUUCU